AGAGUGUGAAGGUUCAAUUAGCAGGGGUGGCUCCAGACAGGCAAACUGCACAGUUGUUCUCCAUCUGCUUAAAAAGCAGUGGAGUUCCUGAGACCGCCACCUGCCUGUCCACCCUCCAUCACCGGCUGUUAGAAGAGAUGAUCAUUAUACGCAGAGCCUUCCUGGAACUGCCAACCUCUGCCUCCACAGAUGCACUUUCUACCCCACUCACAAAUACAACCUAAGCC